rnacentral:rRNA from 1 species
AAGAAAGCAAUCAAAAGCAAAUUAUGAAAUUGUGGACAGAAUUGCAUUUGUGCAGAAUUUUAAAUGAUCAAUUUUAAAUUUUUAAUAAAUUUUUAAUGAUUUAAUCCCAGUAGUAGAGCAAGCUCACUACGGGACAGGUUUUUAAACAUUAGAAAUUUUAAAUUGUUUGGAAAUUGAAAAUUUAAAAUUAUAAAUUUCGAUGUCUGCAAUUUUGUAAUUUGUGCGAUUCCCUAAGUAGUGGCGAGCGAAAGGGGAGGAGGCUAAACCGUUAGUGUUGCCUGCUUCAGAUGAUUUUUCCUUCGGGAAGAGUUGUCAAAAGUGGGCAGGCUUACAGGCCGUAUGCAUUAGCGGUGUCACGAGAGCGAACGUUGAAAGUCUGUAAACUUUCACAAGAUUUUAACACUUAUAGCCAAACGAGGUGGAACCCUCGGCCCAAGAAGGUGAGAGCCCUGUCGGCGAAAUUUGUUGUUAAGUUUUGGUUCGUUUCUCAAGUACUGCGGGACUCGAGAAAUCCUGUGGGAAUUUGCGGCGACUACGCCGUCAGCCUAAAUACUAGAUGAUGAUCGAUAGUGAACGAGUACCGUGAGGGAAAGGUGAAAAACACCCCGGAAGGGGAAUGAAAAGAUCUGAAACCAUAUACUUACAAGGAGGUGGAACUUGUCCUUCGGACAAGGACUGACAACUAACAACUAACGACCUACAACUUUUACAUUGUAAGUUGUGUGUUGGAUGUUGUUUGUUCUCGUCCGCAGGACGGGCGACACCGUGCCUAUUGAAGAAUGAGCCAACGAGUGUAGGUUUGUUGCUUGUCUAAACGAACGCGGUUCGUGAAGGCGGAGUGAAAGCGAGGCCUAACAGCCUAAGCCGCUGUAUAAAAAUCUCGCGGAGCGGGUCCUUUGAAGCUUUACGCGGAGAAGGAUUUCGGUCCUAGGAUUUUUGUGCAGUUGGCGUGCAGCAAGUUUAUGACCCGAAACCAGGCGAGCUACGCAUGAGCAGGAUGAGUCGACCGUAAAUGGUCGAGGAGGUCCGAACCCACGUGCCGUGCAAAACACGGGGAUGACUUGUGCGUAGAGGAGAAAUUCCAAUCGAGCUUGGUAAUAGCUGGUUCUCCUCGAAAUAGUUUAAGGACUAGCCUCAUCUAAGAUCUCUGGUGGUAGAGCACUGAAUAGUGGCAGGGGUGAAUAACCUACUGUCGCUAACCAAACUCCGAAUGCCAGUCAGAUCGCAACCAGAUGGGAGUCAGAACGUGGGGGCUAAGCUCCACUGUUCAAAAGGGAAACAGCCCUAGACCAUCAACUAAGGCCCCAAAGUAACUGCUAAGUGUUAAAGGAGGUGUUAUUACAUAAACAACCAGGAGGUUGGCUUAGAGGCAGCCAUCCUUUCAAGAAAGCGUAAUAGCUCACUGGUCAAGUGAUAGCGCGCCGAAAAUGGAUCGGGGCUAAGCAGUUCGCCGAAGUUAUGGACUAGUUGAAAUUUCGAUUUCAACUAAGUGGUAGAGGAGCGUUCGCUUCAGCGUUGAAGCUGUGCCGUGAGGCGCGGUGGAGCGGAGCGAAGUGAGAAUGUUGGCAUUAGUAGCGAUAUUGCAGGUGAGAACCCUGCACACCGAAAAUCCAAGGUUUCCUGGGCAACGGCAGUCGACCCAGGGUGAGGCGGGACCUAAGCUGAGGCCGAAAGGCGUAAGCGAUGGAAGAGCCGGUUAAUAUUCCGGCCCUGCCUUGAUGUGAGAUGAGUUGGGGACGCUAAUAAAUUUUUACCGUGUGCUUUUGAAUGCGCACAUGCCGUCUGUCUUACAGACGGCGACAGCCGACUUACAACCAUCAACUAACAACGCAAGUUGUCAGUUGGAAAUUGUUUGUUGUUUGUUGCCAUCUGUUAGACAGAUGGCCAAGACUAAAGCCUUCGGGCCGAGGUCAAGGGUAAAGAAAUAUUAGCCGGGAAAAGCCAGCCACAUCGUUUUUAACAUCAAGGCACUCGUACCGUAAUCCGACACAGGUGGGUGAGGAGAGAAUCCUCAGGUGGACGAGCGAAUUCUCGUUUAGGAACUCGGCAAAAAAGCGGGCGUACCUUCGGUAUAUGCCCUGCCCCGGCCGUCCAAAGGACGGCGACAGCCGACUUACUACCACCAACCAACAACGCAAGUUGUCAGUUGGAAAUUGUUUGUUGUUUGUUGCCACCCUCUGGGCGGCUAGGGCCGCAGCGAAAGAUCUCAAGCGACUGUUUACCAAAAACACAGGUCCCUGCCACAAAGCGCAAGCUGAAGUAUAGGGGCUGAUGCCUGGCCAGUGUCCGAACGUUAAGGGGAGAGGUUCACGCCUUGAUCCGAAGCGCGGAUGAACGCAGGCCGUAACUAUAACGGUCCUAAGGUUCCUAAAUUAUUUGAAAAAAUGAUUUAGGAAAAUUUGGGGCUGUUGUAGCUUCGAUAAUGUAUCGUGCACAAGCUGCCUAGUUUUGCGGUAACGCAAAAUUACUACAUGGCUAUAUGCUGGAAAGUUAAAUCUAAUCAGCAGGGAAGUCUACACUAUGUGAACAACCAACGCUCAACAAACAACCCACAACAUAAUUGUUGAAAGUCGUAAGUUGGUAGUUGGAAGUUGCGUCAGCGUUAGAUCCCUCAGAGACCACACGCCAUGCUCCUAGUCAUGAAUUAAAAUAUGACGAGGAUGAAGAUAUGGUCCUUCGCAUAAGGAAGCGAAAAGCGAAAUUCCUUGACGGGUAAGUUCC